AUUGAACGCUAGCGGGAUGCCUUACACAUGCAAGUCGAACGGAGUGGCGAACGGGUGAGUAAUGUAUCGGUACGUGCCCAGUAGCGGGGGAUAACUACGCGAAAGCGUAGCUAUUACCGCAUACUAUCGGAGCGGCCGAGAUCGGAUUUGCUAGUUGGUGGGGUAACGGCUAACCAGGGCGACGAUCCGUCGCUGGUUUGAGAGGACGACCAGCCACACUGGGACUGAGACACGGCCCAGACUCCUACGGGAGGCAGCAGUGGGGAAUUUUGGGAGAUGGGGGAAACCCUGAUCCAGCAAUCCCGCGUGUGCGAUGAAGGCCUUCGGGUUGUAAAGCACUGUUGGCAGGAAAGCGGUACCUGACGAAUAAGCACCGGCUAACUACGUGCCAGCAGCCGCGGUAAUAC
rnacentral:rRNA from 1 species